AUUAUCCUACGGGGCGCAGCAGUGGGGAAUAUUGCACAAUGGGGGAAACCCUGAUGCAGCAACGCCGCGUGAGUGGAGAAGUAUUUCGGUAUGUAAAGCUCUAUCAGCAGGGAAGAAGAAAGACGGUACCUGACUAAGAAGCCCCGGCUAACUACGUGCCAGCAGCCGCGGUAAUACGUAGGGGGCAAGCGUUAUCCGGAUUUACUGGGUGUAAAGGGAGCGUAGACGGCAUAGCAAGUCUGAAGUGAAAGCGCGUGGCUCAACCGCGGAACUGCUUUGGAGACUGUGAAGCUGGAGUACUGGAG
rnacentral:rRNA from 1 species